rnacentral:lncRNA from 1 species
UGAGUGUGAGUUUGUUAUUUGAGUGGAGGAAAGAUAAUCGUUGAGCAAAUUGUUACAGCCUUUUUCUUUUAAUUCUUAUUUUUCUUUUUCUUUAGAGAGUGGAGCCAUUGGAAAUGAUUUUUCAUCCUUAACCCCCCACGUGGCCAACUGUCACACCUCCCUUUUUAUUUCUUCUCUUUUCGUUCGAUGCCCAACCAGAGAGAGGGAUUCUAGAAGGAGAUAUUU